GACGAACGCUGGCGGCGUGCCUAAUACAUGCAAGUAGAACGCUGAAGAGAGGAGCUUACUCUUCUUGGAUGAGUUGCGAACGGGUGAGUAACGCGUAGGUAACCUGCCUUGUAGCGGGGGAUAACUAUUGGAAACGAUAGCUAAUACCGCAUAACAAUGGAUGACACAUGUCAUUUAUUUGAAGGGGCAAUUGCUCCACUACAAGAUGGACCUGCGUUGUAUUAGCUAGUAGGUGAGGUAAUGGCUCACCUAGGCGACGAUACAUAGCCGACCUGAGAGGGUGAUCGGCCACACUGGGACUGAGACACGGCCCAGACUCCUACGGGAGGCAGCAGUAGGGAAUCUUCGGCAAUGGGGGCAACCCUGACCGAGCAACGCCGCGUGAGUGAAGAAGGUUUUCGGAUCGUAAAGCUCUGUUGUAAGUCAAGAACGGGUGUGAGAGUGGAAAGUUCACACUGUGACGGUAGCUUACCAGAAAGGGACGGCUAACUACGUG
rnacentral:rRNA from 1 species